ACCUAAAAUAGAAUGGGAAAAACUUGUGCACCAAAAACUAUAAAUCACAGAUGCAAGAAAUUAAAGAAGACGUAAUAAAUGGGAAUACAUCCAUGUUUAUGGAUUGGAAGACUUAAUGUGGCCAAAAUGCUUAUCCUACAGUUUCAGUUUAAUUAAUACAAUCCCUAUCAAAAUUCUAAUAGCAUUACUUUACAUAAAGAAAAAAUUUCUAAAAUUUAUAUGGAACCACAU